rnacentral:rRNA from 1 species
UAUGUGAUCGUCUCUCGCAUAUCAAUAAGCGGAGGAAAAGAAACUAACAAGGAUUCCCUUAGUAACGGCGAGUGAAGCGGGAAGAGCUCAAAUUUGAAAUCUUCAAGGUUUUACCUUGACGAAUUGUAGUUUAAAGAAGUGUUUUCUGUUGAAGUUUUGGUAAAAGUUCUUCGGAAUAGGACAUCAUAGAGGGUGAGAAUCCCGUAUUUGACCAUUAUUUUCAGCUGUGUGAUACACUUUCAAAGAGUCGGAUUGUUUGGGAAUGCAGUCCAAAAUGGGUGGUAAAUUUCAUCUAAAGCUAAAUAUUGGCGAGAGACCGAUAGCGAACAAGUACCGUGAGGGAAAGAUGAAAAGAACUUUGAAAAGAGAGUUAAACAGUACGUGAAAUUGUCAAAAGGGAAGCGUUUGACACCAGUGUUGUUUUCUCGAAAAUCAAUUAAAAAGAGUUAGAUUUUGUUGUGUAUUGACCUUAACAGCUUGCAUUUCAAUUUUCUUGCUUUUUUUAAUGCACUUUUCGUUUAACAAGUCAACAUCAGUUUCUUUUGUUGUAAAAAGGUCAUUGGAAGGUGGCUUUCUUUUCGGAGAAAGUGUUUAUAGCCUUUGACUCCUGCAAUCGGAGAGACUGAGGUCUGCAGCGUAGAUCCUUCGGGGUUAGAUACAUUUGUGCUAAGUUAUAGCUUUUUAUAGACAACUUGUUGACUAUGAUUAGUCUUGUAGCUUACUCGCUUAUGCUAUUUUACCUACGCUUAGGAUGUUGAAGAUGUAGCACAUCAUACACGCAUGACACACUGCAUAUCAAUAAGCGGAGGAAAAGGUACCUACGCUUAGGAUGUUGAAGAUGUAGCACAUCAU